CAGAAUUCGAGCAUCGCCUUCCAGGACGC
rnacentral:sRNA from 1 species